AUUGAACGCUGGCGGCAGGCCUAACACAUGCAAGUCGAGCGAGCGGCGGACGGGUGAGUAAUGUCUGGGAAACUGCCUGAUGGAGGGGGAUAACUACUGGAAACGGUAGCUAAUACCGCAUACCAUCGGAUGUGCCCAGAUGGGAUUAGCUAGUAGGUGGGGUAACGGCCACCCUAAGCGACGAUCCAUCGCUGGUCUGAGAGGAUGACCAGCCACACUGGAACUGAGACACGGUCCAGAAUCCUACGUGAGGCAGCAGUGGGGAAUAUUGCACUAUGGGCGCAAGCCUGAUGCAGCCAUGCCGCGUGUAUGAAGAAGGCCUUCGGGUUGUAAAGUACUUUCAGCGGGGAGGCGUUACCCGCAGAAGAAGCACCGGCUAACUCCGUGCCAGCAGCCGCGGUAAUAC
rnacentral:rRNA from 1 species